GCGCUGGUUUGUUUGUUUGUUUGUCUGUUAGCAACUUUACGGAGAAAGUAACAGACGGAUUGACCUGAAAUUUUCACCAGAGGUGCGUCUCAGCCCCAGGAGGAUCCCAUUAAAUUUUGGUGGUGAUCCGGAUCGCCUUCUGGAUCCAGGAAGUUUUUGAAGGAUUCUUUAUCAUUGUGAGAUAGGGCAAAUUUUGAAUUUUUGCAUUUAACUCUAUAAAAAUGUUGCAAAAUUCCGGAUACUGUGAGCUGCUUGGCGGAGGUCUGCGCUCUCCGAGUGCUUUUCUAGUCUUUUUGAUUUUUUUCCCCCUCAUUUCUGCAAACAUGAAGAAAAGUCUGCUUGUGUUUCCUCUUUUCUCUCAGUGAAAAUCUUCGACAAAAGCUUCUUUUGUUCCUCUCAGACUGACCCUCUUCUUUUCUUCAACCUUCUGAAGGUGUUUUUAAGGUGAGAAAAGAGAGAAACCAUCAGAGUCUGCGAGUCGUCGACUCAAGAACAGACAGCUGACAUUUAACGACAUUUCAGGGAGCAGGUGUAUCAGAGAGACUCUUAUCAAAAGAAUGAAUUCGUGUUUUUACUCUUUAUCCACCUUGUCUCUCUUUCUUCAUUGCCAGCUGGAUCCCCCGUUUGCUGUGUGUUUAAACUCAACUCAGGCGAAAAAACAGAGUCAGGCUCCCUCUUUCUGCUCACUCAAGACCUACAUUUACAUCUUCCACCUCCUAUUGUUCCCAGUUUGCUUUAACAAGAGUCCUGAGGAUAAACUCGGCAGCAUUAAUUGGACAUUUGCAUUUGUGGGGAGGUAAUGAAGCUAAUUAGGGCAGCAGAUCAGUUCGGUACUUCUACCCAGAUACUAAACAAGAUAUCAAAAUGACUCAUCCAGCCCCAAAGUUUCACCUUUUUAGUGGUUCUCUCAGCUUCGGUUCUUGCUCAGUAUGAAGCUGUAGUUUGAUAUUCCAAAAUGACACCUGUUGAAACAUGACACUGAUGAACAUCUGCAGUAAGCGCAGACACUCGAACUGUUCAAGUCUCGCACAGUUAAAAGAUAUUUCAAGCAGGUUUUAAGUUUUUAAAACAUCUAAAAUUGAAAGGAAUGAGGCCAAAACGAGAACAAAAAUAGACGGAGAGAAUAUGUUGACAAGAAAGGGGAGUAACCAAAGUCCCACUUUGUGUGUUUGCUUUGAUGCAUCUUCUUUCUACGUUGGAAAAACUCAAGCAGGUGUGUUCACGUCAUCUCUCUGGAUUUCCUGAUGUUGCAGCAGUCUUACUGUCUCUCUCUCUCCUCUGCAGAUCCACAGCUUGACAGCCUCACUCUGCAGUUCCCUCUUUUUGAAUUUCAAGCAAGUCUCCACACCUGAACAAUCCACUCAGCUGUCUAAACCUCAUUUCUGUCACCUGCAUGAAUCAGUUCAAACCUCCCUCUCUUCCUGGUUCUUUGAGCAAAUGAAGCGGUUUUAAUCAGUAAGUUUGGGCACCAAUUUAAAAGUUUUACAGUAGUUUGGACGUGUUGCGCAGUCGACCGUGCAGGCAUGAGGGAGUGCUCAACAGUGUGCGCACAGUUCUGGCUGAGCUCCCAUCGUUCUGAUCAGAUGAUUUCCUUGUUGUGCACAGAGCUGCAGCUCCACGGCAUGCACAGGACAGCAGAGCUGCCCGUCAAAGCCGCUGCUCAGAGAUAUGAUGCUGCAGUCUCAGCUGGAAGUUUGGUCUCGUUAUGCUCACGGCUGACAUGUUCUGUCUCUAAGCAGAAGUUUAAUAUUAGUUUAGCAGUGUGGGGGAUGUCAGUGCUUCUAAUAUUUGUUAUCCCUCUUCUGGAGUUGUAAAAUCUUUCCUCAGAAGCAGAUAUGUGUGACAUUUUCGCCGCCGUUGCCCCUGAAGCUGCCCUUUUCCCUGCCUGUGCUUUAUCAACCUGCUGCAUGUGUUCAUACAGGAGUGACGCACUUCCACUGUUUAAAUAUUCCAGAGUAAAGUGCAGGAGACAGAUCAUCUUCUGAGCUCUCCAGGUGUAAUACCUUCAGAAAGGUCAGGAAAAUAGCCGGAGGAGGGGAAAGGAGGGGAGGGGGCUGGAAAAUGUAAAUUCAGUCUCAAGAGUCAGACUCAGAUUGUCUCUGAAUGAAAACCACCGCACAAGCUGCAGGUGUUUGUGACCAAAAAAAGUGUGUUUCAACAGAGGUAUAGAUGGCUGGAAACUGCAGGGAGAGGUGUGACAUUUUUUGACCGAGCAUCAUACAGCACAAAAAAAACGGUCUAAUUAUUCCUUUGCACAAUUAAACUAAACUAAAAAUUCCUCUACCUGCGUAAGAAUGUCAGCUAAAAACUUACAUUAGACAGAUUUCAAACUGCUAUAUGCACUUUUUUUUGCAAAGUUAAGAGGAUUUGCACAGAAAUUUAAUCUGUAUUCAGCCAACUGGAUAAUUGUCUUGUAUUCCAACAAAAACAGUAAAUAAUUCGAUCAAACCACACGGGUUAUAGACGCAGUAUGGUUUGAAAAUGUGAGCAAAGGUGUAAAAUGAAGCAGAGACGUCUUAUCUGCCACUCCAGCUCCCCUCACAUGUGAAGCCUAAGGUAUUUAUUGGUGCAACCUUUUAAAUAAAGUAUUUUCUUAACAGUAUCUUAACCAAGGAGACAGUUUUGUUCAGUAGUUUCAUCAUACACCCCCACAGUUGGAGGCUAUAGUCCUGAAAGCAGGUGGCCAGGGUUCAAACCUAACCUGCAGCUGUUUGCAGAGCGUUAUCUCUUCUCUACUCUCUCUGCUGAGUUUCUUUACUCUGUGAAAAAACCUGGAAACUAUAUUUCACGAAUCAAGUCAGGAUAUUUUGAGAAUAAUGUUUUUUUGUAUGAAAACAAAAAUACUCAUACAUACAGGGAAAUAUUCAUACAUUUAAAACCAUGACUUGGUAAAAACUCAAGAUUAGGGCUUUAAAUUUACUGGAUUAAAGUCUUAGAUAUACAAAUAAAAACUGUUAUGUUUAUGAAAUAAAAGUCAUUAAUUUAUAUCAUCAAAGUUGUAAUUUUAUGAGAACAAAGUCUCUUGUAGAUAGGGUCUCAUAUUACAGUUUGUCUCGAUUGCUAAAACACAUUUCUUGUAAAAAAAAAGCUGGUCAGUAUGAAAUCUAGUUCAGAGUGAUAAUCUGUGAGGAAAGAGUGUAAAUCUGCUUUAAUCCCACGUCUCAUCCCUCGUAAGUGGCAUCAUCAUAAAAAAGAAAAGCAGUUACUUUUGCCUUGAGGUGAUGAAUCAAUAAAGGUCAUGGCUCAAAAUUAGAAAUGCACGUUCCCCUGAGGUUCAACACCUCUACGGGUAAAUUUCAAAGAAGGAUAUUUCCUGACUUGGACAAAAGGAAAGGUCAGAGGUCACUAAAUCCCAUAUAAGACUUGUGAUAUUCAGGUCAGUGUUAAUGGAAAUUUAAUAAAGUCAUUGUUCAAACAGCUAAUUGACAUUGCCAACCGCAGAUGUGCCUUUGGUGCAGUUUAAGACAUUGAAUGUGUCGUAUUAGCAUCACUUUCUGCAGCUGCUGUACUGAGAUUUAUUCAGCCUGGACGCUCAGAUGGAUUGAUGGACACAUUAAAGGAUGAGUGAAGAAUAGUUUAUUAGCGCGCUUGUAUUCAUACCCAUGCUCUCCAGUUCUGCCGUCAGUCAUGAGGCCUGAUGGGAGAAGCUGUCUGCAGGCUGGAAAUGCCACCAUCUCCUCCUAUUGACAGACAGAGAAAACAGAGAGGAAGCCGGAUCGACAGGCAGGAGGGCGGCAGGCGGCAGAAGGGUGGAGCUGUCUGUUUGUUUCUCCAUGUUUGUUCAUGUUUGAUGAAAGAACAGCAGACUUCUUAUCAUUCAGGCGACAAAAACAAAAUCAUACGACUGUAGUGAUUUGAAAUGAGCCUCAUACGGUCGCACCAAAAUAUAUUUGGCGAUUGGAAUUUAUAAUAAAUGUCUGAAGAUUAAUAAUCUCAAAUUAUGACAUUUAUGCACUCGUUGAAAGGGGCACCACCCACCCUUAAUGGUGGGAAAAUAAAGAAAACAAAAGUUUAAUUCAGAAAUCAAACAUCAAGUCAGUUUUAAUUAAUCAGUCUUAAUUAAUCAGUCUUAAUUAAUCAGUCUCAUAUCUUAAGUCGAAAUUCUAAUUUCAGGGACUCCACUUCUGGAAGAACACUAACAGACCAGAACUUAGAAAAAUAAUUAUCUGUUUAUUACAGGAUAAAUGAUGGUACAACACACAUGCAAUAAAUGAUGAUAAGAUAAUGAAGAUAAAUAAUAAUAGGUGAAUAAAUCAAGAUUCUGAGUCAGGCUAGGAGCACUAAAGUUAAUGAUAGUGAGUGAAUAUGCGCUAACAUAUUAACCUACACUAACUUUAGUGUCGAGAUAAACUCGGAUGUGGAUUUGGAGGAAUCUAAGAUUACCAGAAUAAGAGGAUAUCUGAGUUGAACGCAGGAGACAGCACCAGCCCUCUUUAGAGCUCUGGAGGUUUGCAUACUUAAGUGAGACUGGUCCUUGGAGAAGAUGGAGCAGGUUCCGAAGGUCCGGGCUACUGGCGGUUCGAGCAGUUCAGCUCAGAAGACGACUGAAGUCAGCCGAAGGAUGAGCCAGGAGUUGCAGCACUCAGGCCCGAAGCAAAAACCAGCGCCUGUGGAUCCUGUGGAUGCUCGUUUGGGUACUUCUUUAGUCUCACUCAAAAACUCUGGCACAGAGGAUGACCUGGGCCUGUUGGAUUGCGUUCGGAGGUGACUUUGAAAUCACGCAGAAAACUCAGAAAAACGAGGCUCGAAGAGCAGAGAAAACUUUCAAAAAUGGCUUCGCGAAAUUAAAGAAAAUCAAUCAAAGGCUUAAUCUUGAAUUGCUAUGUGCACAAAAAGUUGAAGUUUCAAAACUUGAACUAAGACGAUGUUAAAGAAAAAUCAACGUGAAUCAACACGUGGCGUAAAACUUAGAAGACUAAGAAAAAGUUCUAAGAGAAAACAAAGAAACGCACCACAGAAGGGUGUGGACAGAAGAGAAGGGGCAUAAGAGCCGGGGACAAGAGAGUCAGCAGAAGAGCAGAAGCAUAAGAGAGCUAAGAGAGCGUAAGAGAGGUUGAGCAACCCCACUCCACUGGUUUUAUCUUCUCACACUGGGAGUGUCUGAGGAGAAAGAGGAGGGGUCGUGGAAUCUCUGAUUAUUUGAUCUAACUUAUUCUUUUGGCUGGUAAAAGAGUCAGAUCUGAUACUCACUCACUAUGAUUAAUAUCAUUGAAUGCUUGGUUUCAUGAUCAAUAAUUUGAUACUAAACACAUAUGAAUGAAGUGUAGGAUCACAUCAAACAUUCUCAUUAUGUUUCAAGUAUCACAAUGAACAUGCUAAAUUACUCUGAAAUGAAACAGAGAGUAACACAUGGAAACUGUGAACAACAAAAGAGUAAACACAUGUGAAUGAACUUCAUCAUGAUUAAUAAUGGAUUCUAAAUACUCACAUUCAGAUUAUUCAAUGACAUUAUAACCACCUAAUGGUUAAAAAUACUAAAUAAACAACUACAAUAUAAACCAAACAUUUCUAAACUGUCUCUGUUACCUAGAGUUAAGUUAUGAUCCAUAGUCAAUAAAUUUAACUCUUAAAAGUUCAUGAAACAGUCUGAAAAGCUGUUGGUCUAAAGAAACUAAAGAAUAAAGGAUUUAUUCUGUAACUCGGCCUCUGGAGCACAUAGAAAAACGGGAAACAUCUCAUUUUAACACAAAUUUCAUGAUUAGACAGAUUAGUACAUUGCUGAAUGCAUAAGAUGUCAGGAUCAGUCAUUUGUAUUCUUUCACCAAAGGAAUGUAGUCUUUAUCAGUGUAUGGUCGAGCAGGGUUUUACGACCGAGGUCUGGAGGUCAGUGUCCCCCCCUUAUCCUGGGGUCCGUAUGUUCACACACUUUAAGACGCUAAAUCUCAAAUGGGAGAUCUGGGUUGAGGUUAAUGUUUAUUUAGAUGGUCAGCAAAUUGAGUCAGUUUGAAAGGUAAUAAAACUCUGUCUCUGUUCUCCGAAUCGACCAAUCGUGAAGAGUCAGAGGUUUAGUCAACCUCCGGUUGGGUCACUUAUUUAACCUGAAAGUGUAAACGAGUCUGGAAAGAUUUAUAUCCUGUUUCCUGGGACCAGAUAAGGAAGCUUUCCUGUGAGGAAUGUGUGGGUUUCACACCCAGGGUUGUCUUGAUUGCUACACGACACUACAUUUCUGCUACACGCACGGCAUGUCCGAUGUCCUCUGUGUUCAAACAAUUUAACAAAAGGGGCUUUCCUGCCACAUGGGGUCAUUUUAGAGGAAGGUUCAAAAUAAAACUGUUUAAUGGUCCUGACUGUUACAUUAGCAGUGACUCUGAAUACUGAUUACCUCCGCCAAGAAGGUUAUGUUUUCGGUAGCGUUGGUUUGUUUGUUAGUUUGUUUGUCUGUUAGCAACUUUACGGAGAAAGUAACAGACGGAUUGACCUGAAAUUUUCUCCAGAGGUGCGUCUCAGCCCCAGGAGGAUCCCAUCACAUUUUGGUGGUGAUCCGGAUCGCCUUCUGGAUCCAAGAAUUUUUUGAAGGAUUCUUUAUCAUUGUAAGAUAGGGCAAAUUUGGGAAUUUUUGCAUUUAACUCUAUAAAAAUGUCCAGAGUCUUUAGUAAAAAAUGACACAAAAGGAUCUCAAUGAGUUUUAUGAGGUGUCAAAGGUUGAUCUUGAUCCAGACAAAUUUCCGGAUACUGUGAUCCAGAACACACAAAAAUAAGGGUGUCGUUGGAAUUUUCAAUGCUGAAAGAUAACCAAUGGGCGGCACAGUGGUGUAGAUGGGCGGCACAGUGGUGUAGUGGUUAGCACUGUCACCUCACAGCAAGAAGAUCCUGGGUUUGAAUCCGGGUCAGGGUAUUUCUUGUUUUAGGAACAUUAUGAA